UCUACAUGUUGAUCACAGCAGGCUGGUCCU
rnacentral:piRNA from 1 species